rnacentral:rRNA from 1 species
CUACGUGCCAGCAGCCGCGGUAAUACGGAAGGUCCGGGCGUUAUCCGGAUUUAUUGGGUUUAAAGGGAGCGUAGGCCGGAGAUUAAGUGUGUUGUGAAAUGUAGACGCUCAACGUCUGACUUGCAGCGCAUACUGGUUUCCUUGAGUACGCACAACGUUGGCGGAAUUCGUCGUGUAGCGGUGAAAUGCUUAGAUAUGACGAAGAACCCCGAUUGCGAAGGCAGCUGACGGGAGCGCAACUGACGCUUAAGCUCGAAGGUGCGGGUAUCGAACAGGAUUAGAUACCCUGGUAGUCCGCACAGUAAACGAUGGAUGCUCGCUGUUGGUACCUGGUAUCAGCGGCUAAGCGAAAGCAUUAAGCAUCCCACCUGGGGAGUACGCCGGCAACGGUGAAACUCAAAGGAAUUGACGGGGGCCCGCACAAGCGGUGGAGCAUGUGGUUUAAUUCGAAGCAACGCGAAGAACCUUACCAGGUCUU